CAGAAUAUAACUUUGUAGUAAAGUAUUUCAUUUACAUUGAAUAUAGUUCUGUGCAACUCAGAAUAUUUUGA
rnacentral:tRNA from 1 species